ensembl:lncRNA
UGGGGGGUGUACUCAUGAACACGCAAAGGUCUACUGGAUGCUGUGCUUCCACCGGACCACACUGUGGUAGAUGUCUUCCACUUGCCCCUCCAGACCACCUCCCCACCCUCCGGCCAUGCCCAGUGUCCUGCAAUGCUGACCUUUGUGAAUGGGCUCAUCCAAGGCUACUUUGCCCUGGCUUCUGGUCAGGUUCAGCCAAUGGAAGGCACUGGGAGCAGGAAGUUAUUGCUUCCUCGAACUUGCAGUGAGUUGUCUAAUUCUCCUAACAAAGGCUGCAGCUCUGACCAGGUGGCCGUAUUCUAACCACUUCAGCACUUGUGCCUUCAGGUCUAGGAGAGAUGAAGCCUGCUCACCCUGGGAUUCCUCACCACUUCCUUGAGUGCAUUGUGGAGGUCUCAGGAAUUCCCAGACUCCAAGAAAACAGGUGUAGAGAUGGGAAGAAUACUUGCCUCUCCAACCCUAUUAUUAUUGAUUUUUCAUUUUUAUUAUUUUUAAAAUUUUUGGCUACGCUGGAUUUUCAUUGCAACAUGAGUGCUUUUUGUUGCAGCAUGUGGGCUUCUCCUGUUACUCCAAGGCAUGUAGGAUCUUGGUUCUCUGACCAGGGAUUCAAACCAUGUCCCCUGCAUUGGAAGGCAGAUUCUUAACCACUGGACCACCAGGGAAGUCCCUUCGCAUCAUUAUUAUUGAUUGAUGUUUCCUAGGGCAUCCUCAAAAAUGCUUGUAGAGCCUCACUCUGAAAGUUUCUUCUCUUCGUCUUGCUGGAGAACAUAAGCACUCUGGUCAUCAAAUGAGGAUUGUAUCAUACACUCAAGAGCCAAAGGGAUGGCUUGUGAGGACUCUUCCCCAAGCCGUAGUCCUGUGCCCUCAUGGUUGAAACAGUGCUUCAUGGAACCAAACAAAGCUACUCAACCCCACAGGAGGCUCCAAAAUGAGCCAUAUAUUUCCUUGAUGACAACCACCUCAAUAUGAUUUGGGGCAUCCCUGGUGGCUCAGGUGGUAAAGAAUCUGCCUGUGUGAUGUGGGAGACCUGGAUUCAAUCCUUGGGUUGGGAAGAUUCCCCUGGAGAAAAGAAUGGCAACCACUCCAGUAUUCUUGCCUGGAGAAUUCCAUGGACAGAGGAGCCCGACGGGCUACAGUCCAUGAGGUCACAGAGAGUUGAGCAAAACUGAACGACUGACAUUUUCACUUUCACUGUUCAGAAACUCAUUGUGUAUUAUCAGAAUGUGCAAUCUCAGAACUCUCAAAGCCAACUCUACUGCAAACAAUUGCUUGCUGAAAUAAAAUCUAUAUUUUUAAGCUCCUGCCUCAUCAAAUCCCUCCCAGUUGAGAUGGCUUCUAAACUCCAUCACCAGCUUCCUCAAUGCAGAUGGAAAACAUUCUGGAGUUGUUGAAUCCGGCAGUGAAAAUCUCACCUUUUAAUCAUACUUCAUCACUGACGGGGAGAACUUUCUUCCAAACCUGGCCCUCUGCCCAGCGGGGUCCAGAGCCAGCGUGUGACUGGCGCAAGAUGGAGUUCUGUAAUGGAUUAACAGGAGAGUUGCAUUUAAUAAAAGCCAAAGAACUUCUGAACACACAUGUUGGAGGAGAAAAGAAGCAAGUUAGAGCUCAGCAACUGACAGACAUAGCGCAUGGGGUGGGCGUUGGGGAGAAGAUGGUUCUCUCAGGACCAUAGGCACAAGGUCCUAAGGGCCAAGAAGGAAUCCUUGCUAGGAGGUAAUAUUAUUGUGCUGUGUGUUCAGUUAUGUCCAACUCUUGGUGACUCCACGGACUGUAGCCCACCAGGCUCCUCUGUCCGUGAAAUUUUCCAGGCUAGAAUACCGGAGUGGAUUGCCAUUUCCUUACUUCAGGGGAUCUUCCUGACCCAGGGAUCAAAUCUGUCUCUUGCAUCUCCUGCUGUGGCAGGUAG